UACGAAGGGGGCUAGCGUUGCUCGGAAUCACUGGGCGUAAAGGGUGCGUAGGCGGGUGUUUAAGUCAGGGGUGAAAUCCUGGAGCUCAACUCCAGAACUGCCUUUGAUACUGAGGAUCUUGAGUUCGGGAGAGGUGAGUGGAACUGCGAGUGUAGAGGUGAAAUUCGUAGAUAUUCGCAAGAACACCAGUGGCGAAGGCGGCUUACUGGUCCGGUUCUGACGCUGAGGCGCGAAAGCGUGGGGAGCAAACAGG
rnacentral:rRNA from 1 species